ensembl:lncRNA
AACCAGGAUGUAUUUCAAACCCUCCUUUGACAAGGCAUGCAGAUAAAGGUCUGCAGAGAAAGUCUGUGGAUGAUCUGAAGCAAAUUUCUCUGGGCAGGACUCUGAGAGAGGGGCUGGUUCUGCCACUGAUGCUGCAAUGGCUGCCUUGUCUUCCUCUGGAGACAGAAUGUAGCUGCCACUAAGCUGCUGCCUCUGCUGCACCAAAAUGGAUUCUGGGACAUGGGUUUGAUCCCUGGUCCAGGAAGAUCCCACAUGCCAUGGAGCAACUAAGCCCUCGUGCCGCAACGACUGAAGCCCACACACCUAGAGCCUGUGCGCCACAACAAGAGAAGUGACUGCAAUGAGAAGCCUGAGCACAGCAACUAGAGAGUAGCUCAUGCUCUCUGCAACUAGAGAAAAAGAUCGCACACAGCAACGAAGACCCAGCACAAACAAAUAAAUGUGUGUGCUCAGUCGCUCAGUCGUGUCCAAAUCUGUGUGAUCCCCAUGGGCUAGGCUGCCAGGGUCCUCUGUUCAUGGAAUUUUCCAGGCAAGAAUACUGGAGUGGUUUGCCAUUUUUUCUACUCUAGGAGAUCUUCUCAACCCAGGGAUCGAACCUGCAUCUCUUACAUCUCCAGCAUUGGCA